AUGGCGGCGGGGUUGCCGGCGCUAUGUGCGGAGGAGGAGGGAGGAGAGGGUGCGGGGGUGGGGCGCAUCGGAGGCAUCUUCAUCGCGGAGGAGUGGAGAGAAAUUAAGGCGAGAUCGAGGCAAAUCCUGCGGACUGCCGCGGACCGAAAGAGCUGCCUGGGAAGAUUGAAGAAGAGGGCGGAGGAAAUCUUGGGCGGAUCCUCAGGUGAGCUUGCUUCUAAUUAUGGACGAGGAUUGCCGGAUCCCUUCUGUCCAGGAAAGGAAGCAGUAGCAGAGAGGGGAUCGAGUCUUCUCUCCUUUGUUCAGAUAGCGCGUCCCAUGGAGAACAAGAGUGAUGCUAAGGGGGUUUGUGGGGAGGGAGAUACACAGGGGGUGGUGAGUACUGGAGAAGAGAUGGAAUCGGUGGUGGUGGUGAGGACUCAGGUGACGGCCAGGGGGGACGACCCCCUUCUUGGCCGUACGGUGGCGGAGCACAAGGGGAAGUUGGCUAUGAGACGCUUCCGGGGCGAGGCUCCUCCUCUUGUCAUCGACAUGGAUGCUGCUAGGAGGGCCGUCUCUGGCUUCCUGGUAGUUGGACGCUUCUUGGCACCUUUCAAGGUGAACCCCCGGGCCAUCGUUGACGAGCUCCGAAACUCCGGGGCGUGGCGGCUUCAGGGUACGACCACCGUCCAAGAGGUGGCCAGCGAGGACGGGCGCUUUGUCCUCAAUUUCUCCUCCGAGGGGGAUCGACGGUUUGUGCUCAAGGCACAACCAUGGCACUAUAAUCGGGACGGCAUCAUCUUUGCCGAGUUCGACAGCAGGGGCGACCCGGCGGAGAUCGAUCUUGGGGUCAUGCCCAUUUGGGCCCAGGUUCGUGAUGUCCCUUUCGAGCUCAAGACGGAGAGUAUGGGAUGGACUUUCGGGGAUCAGUUGGGGGAAGUGGUGGAUGUGUCGCACCGUAAUCAUGUCACAGUUGAAAAAUUCUUGCGAGUGCGUGUGGGUAUCUUGCUGCACGAUCCGCUCAAGAGCACUGUAGAGUUCACCACGUUAGGAAGCUCCAAGAAAAUUAGAUAUGAUGUCCGGUAUGAAAAACUACCUCGGUAUUGUGAGUGCUGUGGGCUUAUAGGUCAUACUUCCGAACGUUUCUGUAGUAUUCCAAAAGAAAAGAGAGUAGCUAUCUACCCAAAAAAUCUUAGUGUAGAUGCUUACUGGAAGGGUCAAGGGUCACACAAGAGAGAGGUUAUCUUAGGAGGUUUUCCUAGAGGUGAUCAGUCUUCGGUCAUCGCACCCGACAACAGAAACAAGUCAAAGGCCAUGGAGGGUGUCGUCGUCAAAGUGGCCAAGGCGGUGAGUGUGCUCACUGUCUCCGACAAGGACGGGAAUGUAGCGCCAAAGGCGGCCCAGCCUAGUUUCCCGCUCGGCCAGGAGGGGUGGGCGUCGGAGGCUCCUUCAUCAAUUCCUAUCGGUGCUGCGCUCAGUCAGGAGGGCCGGGCUGCAGUGCCAAAGGCGGCCCAGCCUAGUUUCCCUCUCGGCCAGGAGGGCCGGGCGUCGGAGGCUCCUUCACCGACUCUGGUCGGUGCUGUGCUCGGUCAGGAGGGCCGGAUUGCAGCGCCGAAGGCAUCUACUGGCCUUGGCCAGGAGGGCCAAGGACUGGCAUCCCUGAUGCUCACCCAGUCGGGUGUGAUGUUUGGUCAGGAGGGGAUGCAGCCAGGGGGUUUCAGCACCUCCAAGUCUGCUGUACCAGCUGCAGUUCACCAGGAGAAAACUGCUGACCAGGAGGGCCAAGGGCUCACGGGCGGGCCUCCUGCCCCGGAGGGCGCUGCACAAGAGUGGCUGGAGGUCCCCAGCGUCCCCAAAUCUGCUAUGGCUGAUGCGGCCCGUUUGGGUGUCACUAGUGGCCAGGAGGGACUGAACCUGGGUGUGCCCGGCUUUGCAAAUGGAGCAGCACAAGGGGCUGUUAAGUGUUUUUUGACAUCCACAAAUCUUCAAGACCAAUUGUUGUUCCAGCCAGGGCCAGCUAAAGAGGAUGGGGAAGAAAGAGAAAAAGGGAAGAACGAUGUGAGUGUUUCUUCAAAACGAGUGUGUAUUGGUAGAGUAGAAAGAGUGAAGGAUGUUUAUGGUGUUGUGACACAUGUCGCGAAGGAGUUAGAAGAGAAGGAGGAGGAGUAUGUGCAACAGGGAGGGGAGUCAGUUGGUGAAGAGAAGGAAGAAACUGGCCAAAUGAAAAUUUUAGGAUGGAACUGCCGUGGUAUGCUCUCCCCCACGGCAGUUCGUGAGCUCAUGGAGCUCCAAGGACGGGUGAACCCAAAGCUAGUUUUUCUUUCUGAAUCGCAUUUAAAUAAAAUAAAGGCUGAUGAGCUACGUUGUAAAUUAGGUUUUAAUUCUAUGUUUCUAUCAGAGAGUGAUGGUAAGGCUGGUGGUCUUGUAUGGUGGUCUUGUAUUAUAUUAUCAAAACGAGAAUAA
rnacentral:rRNA from 1 species